UACGGAGGGGGCUAGCGUUGUUCGGAAAUACUGGGCGUAAAGCGCACGUAGGCGGCGCAGCAAGUCAGGGGUGAAAUCCCGGGGCUCAACCCCGGAACUGCCCUUGAAACUGCAGUGCUAGAAUUCUGGAGAGGCGAGUGGAAUUCCGAGUGUAGAGGUGAAAUUCGUAGAUAUUCGGAAGAACACCAGUGGCGAAGGCGACUCACUGGACAUGUAUUGACGCUGAGGUGCGAAAGCGUGGGGAGCAAACAGG
rnacentral:rRNA from 1 species